rnacentral:lncRNA from 1 species
CACACACACACACAGUAGGAGGUGCUCGGUAGUUGAUCUGAUUGGUCCUGGAGGACGUAGAUCAAACGCACUGUGUGCAUCAGGAUCGACGUGAUUUCGGGAGACAAACCUGCAACAAGGAGGCGGAGACACAAACUUACUAAGUACAACUUUAAGGAAGUGUACAGGCGCAGGACUGGUGGUGUUUUCUACAACUGCAGCAGCAUGCAGCCAGGAGUGUCGACCCAAAGCCAGCUGUUGGGUUCUCUGAAGGUGUACCUGAACAAUAAGAACAGACUACAACCCAUCAUUGGCCUCAGUAGCAUCAUAGAGUGUGUGAAGAAAAGUACGCAGAGCAGAGACACAUUGUUUAUUUGUGAGGUGUGUGUGUGUCGGCUUAGUAAGGCUGACAUGCGGAACCACAUCUGUGGAAGUCUCCAUAGAUUCAACUACAUUAAAGCCCGGCACCCACAUUUAGUGUCUGAAUGGGAGGAGAACCCUGAUCUGUCCAAGCUGGCCUGGACUCUGAUGGAGAUGGCCAAAAAGCUUGAGGGAGAAGAGGGUCCAGGAGAUAUCCAGUUGUUAGAGGUUGAAGAUGCUGUAUACCAGAAGAUGGCAACAUACAGUGAAAAUGACGCAGUAACUAUGAUACAUUCCCUCAGAGAUGGAUGGUGUGAACCUGAGAAUCUUUCAGAGUGGAUGUCUGUUCACUAUCCCAUCAAAUCGCAGAGGACUGUAUUACUCACACACAAUCAACAGGGCACACAAUCAUUAGAAGUCCCACCAGUCUGUCACGUUAAAAACAUCCCAACAUCACAGCUGGACAAAAUUCAGAUGGCACCUGGACCCUCUGUGUCAUCAAAGAACCACAGCAGCUACCUGGAUAGCUACACAGGAUCCAAGCCUCUCAUUGGUCUUUCACGAGUGGUUGAGUGCAAGAGUCAAGAUGGCCGCUCCUACUGUUUUUUAUGCCACUGCUGCCGCAUCAGAACCAACAAAAAGCACAUCAUUGAUCACCUAACCAGCUCUUCCCAUCUCACCAACUACUUGAUGGAAACUUGUCCUAAAGUAAUUACACCAGAUGUCGACGACAACUGUCUGCUUCUCCAGUCACUGGCUGAGAAAGUGGAGAGGGAGCAGGGCAGAGGAAAGCUGAAGGUAGUAAAUGCACCAGAGUCCCUCUGCAUACUGCUCACCGACAAGAGUUAUCAUUGGUGUGUAAAGAUGCUGCAUAAUGGUUGGGCACCUACUGGCAGCCAAAAAAAGAGAAAUGCCAUCAACGAGCCGAGUGUGAAUGAGACUUCAGUGGGAAGUGUGCUGGAGGAUUGUGCAGUCAUGCCUUCUAAAAAGGCUAGAAAAACAAAGAGGAAGAACAGGAAACGGACCAAUACUGUGUUCAGUGUGAGCCUGCCUCUCACGAAAGGCGCAGUGCUGCUGGAGAGGACGUCUUUCAGCGAGGACUGCCUUCCUGUAUCACCUUCAUUCGAUCCUAGUCCCUCACCUGCUGCUCAGAUAGUGGUCUCUGACUUAGAUUCUGAUCCAGGACUUUGUAAAACCUCACAACUACACCAGGAUCGCCAUAGUGGAAAUGCAGAUGCUGGCGAAUUCACUCCAGAAAGUGACAUAACAGUCAUCCUGUUCCAAGAUGGUUACAUCACUGAAGAUGUGUACUUCAACCAAUCUGGAGAUCAAACAGGGUCAAAAGUCCCUGAUGUGAAUGACAGACAGUACGAUUCUCAAACAAGGUCAAGUAACACAUUUCAACAUCAGUGGACAAAUGAAGAUGCACGGAUACAAAGUCGGCGACUGUUUCCUGCUGUCUCUCACACUCAGGGCUGGUACAACCCCUCCUACAGACAUGAUGGAAGCACUGAGCUGUGGUACAGUUCCACCUCAAGAGAAGAGCCUGGGCACAAUUACAUGACCUCCAAUGUUGUUCAAUAUUCCCAUCAACAACAGCCUCACCAUCAGCACAGGGAAUUUUAUAAUACAGGUCUUCUGGCUGGGAGCGAGGGUCAUCUUGAUCCGCCUGCUGAAGUAGCCCCUUACUUGGAUGCAAGCAGGAGAAACAUGCAAAGUCACACAGGGGAUCACCUCACACACAGUGGCAGUACUGAUCCGGAUUCUAGAGGACAGAGUUAUAAGGCACAGCCUGCACCCUUUCAGGCCUGCCAGGUAGACCAUGGGUGGAUGUAUAAUGCCAACUGCAUUCCUGGACCUUGUGCUGGUCAGGGUUUGUACUAUUGGCCAAACCCCGAUCAGCACCUUCCUUAUCCACCCGGCAGCAGCAGCAGCAGCUGGGGUGUGACGCCGCCAACUGCUUUCUUCCAAGCUGGGCAAAAUCUGUUUUAUGAGGCCAGCUCUGAUCUAAAUUUUAGAGCUGUAGGUAGGGCAGGUGUAUUGAUGUGAGAAAGUGUAGAUGGGAAAUUUCCAUUUAUGAUGAUCACAGCAGCCGGUUUUACUUCUGAAUAUAUUGCCAGACCUCAGCCGGGCUAUAUUUGAAGUGACAUCUCGCUUAUAGAUACAAUAAAGGGAUUUUUGUCAGUAGUGAGUCA